rnacentral:tRNA from 1 species
UCGUAGCUCAGUUGGAUAGAGCAACAGCCUUCUAAGCUGUGGGUCGUGGGUUCGAACCCCGCCGA